rnacentral:rRNA from 1 species
AUUGAACGCUGGCGGCAGGCCUAACCCAUGCAAGUCGAACGAGUGGCGGACGGGUGAGUAAUGUAUGGGAAACUGCCUGAUGGCGGGGGAUAACUACUGGAAACGGUCGCUAAUACCGCAUACCAUCGGAUGUGCCCAGAUGGGAUUAGCUAGUAGGUGGGGUAACGGCUCACCUAGGCGACGAUCCCUAGCUGGUCUGAGAGGAUGACCAGCAACACGGGAACGGAGACACGGUCCAGACUCCUACGGGAGGCAGCAGUGGGGAAUAUUGCACAAUGGGCGCAAGCCUGAUGCAGCCAUGCCGCGUGUAUGAAGAAGGCCUUCGGGUUGUAAAGUACUUUCAGCGGGGAGGCGUUACCCGCAGAAGAAGCACCGGCUAACUCCGUGCCAGCAGCCGCGGUAAUUC